AACGAACGCUGGCGGCAGGCCUCUUACAUGCAAGUCGAGCGCACCUUCGGGUGAGCGGCGGACGGGUUAGUAACGCGUGGGAACGUGCCCUUCUCUACGGAAUAGCCUCUGGAAACGGAGAGUAAUACCGUAUACGCCCUUUGGGGGAAAGAUUUAUCGGAGAAGGAUCGGCCCGCGUUAGAUUAGGUAGUUGGUGGGGUAACGGCCUACCAAGCCUACGAUCUAUAGCUGGUUUUAGAGGAUGAUCAGCAACACUGGGACUGAGACACGGCCCAGACUCCUACGGGAGGCAGCAGUGGGGAAUCUUAGACAAUGGGGGCAACCCUGAUCUAGCCAUGCCGCGUGAGUGAUGAAGGCCUUAGGGUCGUAAAGCUCUUUCGCCUGUGAUGAUAAUGACAGUAGCAGGUAAAGAAACCCCGGCUAACUCCGUG
rnacentral:rRNA from 1 species